rnacentral:tRNA from 1 species
GCAGUCGUGGCUGAGUGGUUAAGACGAUGGGCUAGAAAUCCAUUGGGGUCUCCCCGCACAGGUUCGAAUCCUGUCGACUGCG